rnacentral:rRNA from 1 species
AGAGUUUGAUCCUGGCUCAGAUUGAACGCUGGCGGCAUGCCUUACACAUGCAAGUCGAACGGUAGAGGAGCAAUCCUCGAGAGUGGCGAACGGGUGAGUAAUAUAUCGGAACGUGCCCAGUCGUGGGGGAUAACGUAGAGAAAUUUACGCUAAUACCGCAUACGAUCUAAGGAUGAAAGCGGGGGACUCGCAAGGGCCUCGCGCGAUUGGAGCGGCUGAUAUCAGAUUAUGUUGUUGGUGAGGUAAAAGCUCACCAAGCCGACGAUCUGUAGCUGGUUUGAGAGAACGACCAGCCACACUGGGACUGAGACACGGCCCAGACUCCUACGGGAGGCAGCAGUGGGGAAUUUUGGACAAUGGGCGAAAGCCUGAUCCAACAAUGCCGCGUGCAGGAAAAAGGCCUUCGGGUUGUAAACUGCUUUUGUACGGAACGAAACGGUCUGCCCUAAUACGGUGGGCUAAUGACGGUACCGUAAGAAUAAGCACCGGCUAACUACGUGCCAGCAGCCGCAA